rnacentral:rRNA from 1 species
UAAACUGGGAUUAGAUACCCCACUAUGCCUAGCCCUAAAUCCUAAUGCUUACCUUACCCAAGCAUUCGCCUGAGAACUACGAGCACAAACGCUUAAAACUCUAAGGACUUGGCGGUGCCCCAAACCCACCUAGAGGAGCCUGUUCUGUAAUCGAUACCCCACGAUACACCCGACCCCUCCUUGCCAAGGCAGCCUACAUACCGCCGUCGCCAGCUCACCUCCCUUGAAAGCACAGUAGUGAGCACAACAGCCUACACACGCUAGUAAGACAGGUCAAGGUAUAGCCCAUGGAGGGGAAGAAAUGGGCUACAUUUUCUAACAUAGAGGACUCACGGAAGGGGGUGUGAAAUCGCCCCUAGAAGGCGGAUUUAGCAGUAAAGUGGAACCAUAAAGCCCACUUUAAGCCGGCCCUGGGGCACGUACACACCGCCCGUC